rnacentral:lncRNA from 1 species
AGAAAGACCGUCUAGUCGAUAACAGCAAGGACGCUGACAACAGUCACCCCGCUCGGAACCCGACUGAACCAUUAACUACCUUAGUGAUGCUAGGCAACCCACUGGACCUAGCCGCGCUUCAGAAUCUCCGCCCCUAAAACGGGAUAACAACUGCCUGAACAGGGAUGCUGUAGAGACUGAAUGGGUUGAUAGCGAAAAAGUUAAAACAGCGCCCCAGACACAGGCGCUACGCAGACAGACGGUGUUAACCCUAUUGUCAUCACUAGCUAAGGACACGGGCGCCCGAGAGCAAAGACCACGUUGGCAACACCCACAAUCAGAAGGUGGGCGAGGGCGCCGGGCGGCCAACACCGUCGUCACCACCGGGACCUCGGCCCCCGCCUACGGGCUCAGGGACGCUCGGCUGACGCGGCGAAGGACCGACCGACUACGCGAAAGCCGCGCAGAGCCGGCGAGAGAGGAUGGAAGAAACCCAGGUCCGGCCUCCCAGGCCAGCGGCCGCCCCCGAAGACACUUCAACUCACCGUUCGAGAUGUAAACCAUCUUCGCCCCUUGUUCCAAGCUGCCGGAGCGACUGAGGGGCUUUGCCCCUCUCGGCCUCGGUACCGCCCUCUGCGCCCCGCCCUUGAACGUCACAGACCACGGUUAGACCAACCGGCGACGGAGAAAGGAGGUGGAUGGAACCCAUUGGCUGCUGGGAGGGACACGCACACGACUGCCGUUUUUUGCGUCGUCACGCUGGCGACUUCCCGUAGAGCGAGGGCUGCUGGGCCGGUGACCGGAAGUGACGUUUGGGAUUUAACCCGUAAGCGCGCGCUUGCUUCUCUCCUUUUGGUGUUGAGCUUGAAGAGUUUUCUAGUUGCUUGAUGGGCCCAGCGUCGGGAAGGCGAAGCUCUGCAUGUGCAAUGUCUUGAAGAAGUGCUGGCAGGAGGAAGUCCUGAAAAUAUUCCAGAAGUGGUGUUAUUUGAGGGCCUUUGUACUUGGCUGUCCUACGCGAAGUCCUAAUGGCUGUGACCCUCCCUUCCCCGCCAAGUCCCGAGUGCUCAAGCCGGGUGUCAGCUUGAAAAGAAUGAAGAUACUGGCCUGGCACAGAAAGGCUCUAAGGGCGCCUGGGUGGCGUAAUCGUUAUGCGUCUGCCUUCGGCUCAGGGCAUGAUCCCAACGUUCUGGGAUCGAGCCCCAUAUCAGGCUCCUCCGCUGGGAGCCUGCUUCUUCCUCUCCCACUCCCCCCUGCUUAUGUUCUCUCUCUCACUGUCUGUCUGUCUCUGUCAAAUAAAUAAAUAAAAUCUUAAAAAAAAAAAAAAAGAAAGAAAGAAAAUGUCUUUUUCUUAUUAUUUUGGCCAGAUUCUUUUUAGUUGUCCUCUGAAGG